GGCUGAUCCUAGUGCAGCGGUGUUUACAACUAAUUGAUCACAACCAGUUACAGAUGUCUUUGCUCCUUCUCCACUCCACUGCUUCACUUAACUACAGA
rnacentral:Y_RNA from 1 species